CAUGAACUAUAAACUUGUUUUAUAGUGUAAAUCUGUGAAAAUCCUCUAAAACUGUGUGUGCCAAUCAGCAAAUGGAUUUGGAACGAGAUCCAGGGUACGAAAUGAUGGAAUGGCUCGCCAGUCCCGACCGGAAUACGAAUAUUCAGCAAGGACAGGAUUCAGGAACACAA